rnacentral:rRNA from 1 species
AACGAACGCUGGCGGCAUGCCUAACACAUGCAAGUCGAACGAGACCUUCGGGUCUAGUGGCGCACGGGUGCGUAACGCGUGGGAACCUGCCCUUAGGUUCGGAAUAACUCCCCGAAAGGGGUGCUAAUACCGGAUAAUGUCUUCGGACCAAAGAUUUAUCGCCUUUGGAUGGGCCCGCGUUGGAUUAGCUAGUUGGUAGGGUAAAAGCCUACCAAGGCGACGAUCCAUAGCUGGUCUGAGAGGAUGAUCAGCCACACUGGGACUGAGACACGGCCCAGACUCCUACGGGAGGCAGCAGUGGGGAAUAUUGGACAAUGGGCGAAAGCCUGAUCCAGCAAGGCCGCGUGAGUGAUGAAGGCCGUAGGGUUGUAAAGCUCUUUUACCCGGGAUGAUAAUGACGGUACCGGGAGAAUAAGCUCCGGCUAACUCCGUG